rnacentral:rRNA from 1 species
UACGUAGAAGACUAGUGUUAUUCAUCUUUAAUAGGUUUAAAGGGUACCUAGACGGUAUAAUUAGUCUUAAACAGGAUACGAUUAUACUAGAGUUAUAUAUGAGGAGGUGAGUAUUUAUGCAGUAGAGUUGAAAUUCGUUGAUAGCAUAACGACUGGUAACGGCGAAAGCAACCUUUUAUCUAAUAACUGACGUUGAGGGACGAAAGGCUCGGGUAACGAACAGGG